CAAAAGUAGAGAGAAGUCGAAAAUUUGAGGCACAAUAUAGUUUUCUCAAAAUUGAGGGACUUGUAAGAAAGCCAGCAACGAAUUAAAGAAUUCAAACUCUACAACUCAAUUCAGUGCUAGCCCUCUGCGAGUACACACUACAGAGUACAGACUUGAAGAUUCCUUUGUCCCUAGAAAUCAUCACCCCACCAUUUUCUCAGCUUCCUUUUUCUUCUACCAAAACCCCAAAUCCAUCUCUCGUACUCAUGGUGUGGAGUGUAAAAUGCUGGAUUUGUUUUUUGUCUAAGCUGAAUAUCUUGUCCAUGUCCAACUGAACCCCUUUUUGAAAACUGUUGUAUGUAACGACGUCGUAAAGUAGCCAUCAGUGCUUACUCCUUUACUUUGUUGCACCUAUUUAGCAUUUCUUUCCUUUGGGUUUAGUGUUUUUGCUAUUAGAAAUCUCCAAAAAUCUUUAAUUCUUUUUUUUUUUUGUUUUUUGUUUUUGAUUGCUUAUUGUGACCUUAACUGCAAAGGCUUACAGUUGCUGUUGAUUAUUUUAAGGUUUAAGUGUUGUUCUAAAUUCCUGUUUCACAAAAAUAGAAUCUUGAUUUGUUUUAAUUUAAU
rnacentral:lncRNA from 1 species